GCCGGGUGCAGUGGCACAUACCUGUAAUCCCAGCAGCACAGGAGGCUGAGGCAGGAGGAUCACAAGUUCAAAGCCAGCCUCAGCAAAAGCGAGCUGCUAAGCAACUCAGGGAGACCCUGUCUCUA
rnacentral:sRNA from 1 species